rnacentral:rRNA from 1 species
GUACGUACAAGCAGUGGGAGCACAGGUUUACCUGUGUGACUGCGUACCUUUUGUAUAAUGGGUCAGCGACUUAUAUUCUGUAGCAAGGUUAACCGAAUAGGGGAGCCGGAGGGAAACCGAGUCUUAAUUGGGCGUUAAGUUGCAGGGUAUAGACCCGAAACCCGGUGAUCUAGCCAUGGGCAGGUUGAAGGUUGGGUAACACUAACUGGAGGACCGAACCGACUAAUGUUGAAAAAUUAGCGGAUGACCUGUGGCUGGGGGUGAAAGGCCAAUCAAACCGGGAGAUAGCUGGUUCUCCCCGAAAGCUAUUUAGGUAGCGCCUCGUGAAUUCAUCUCCGGGGGUAGAGCACUGUUUCGGCUAGGGGGCCAUCCCGGCUUACCAACCCGAUGCAAACUGCGAAUACCGGAGAAUGUUAUCACGGGAGACACACGGCGGGUGCUAACGUCCGUCGUGAAGAGGGAAACAACCCAGACCGCCAGCUAAGGUCCCAAAGUCAUGGUUAAGUGGGAAACGAUGUGGGAAGGCCCAGACAGCCAGGAUGUUGGCUUAGAAGCAGCCAUCAUUUAAAGAAAGCGUAAUAGCUCACUGGUCGAGUCGGCCUGCGCGGAAGAUGUAACGGGGCUAAACCAUGCACCGAAGCUGCGGCAGCGACGCUGAUGCGUUGUUGGGUAGGGGAGCGUUCUGUAAGCCUGUGAAGGUGGCCUGUGAGGGUUGCUGGAGGUAUCAGAAGUGCGAAUGCUGACAUAAGUAACGAUAAAGCGGGUGAAAAGCCCGCUCGCCGGAAGACCAAGGGUUCCUGUCCAACGUUAAUCGGGGCAGGGUGAGUCGACCCCUAAGGCGAGGCCGAAAGGCGUAGUCGAUGGGAAACGGGUUAAUAUUCCCGUA